rnacentral:lncRNA from 1 species
AUACAUUACCACUAAUGUUUUACUGAGCUUCCCCAAGUGUACAAAUUACAAAAACACCGCAGAUCAGUUCUCACAGUGUAUAGAUUACAAAAACACAAGGAUUCACAGCCAUAAACAGCCACUGUGACAAUCAGCUGGCCACUAGAUAACAUCCUGCGAACAGACAACUCAAAACCAGACCAGAUACUAGAGAAAAAAGCAAUGCCGCUGCUUUUCACUUCAUAUCUCAGAUGUAGCAGUUCUCUUUCAAUUUUCCCUAUUAGCGUGGCACUCGAGGGUUUGGUCAGCUUACAGGACUAGGAAAGUAAUAUGGUUUAUUUACUAUUUUUUUUUUCCCCUGGGGAAAAAAAAAAUCAUCCACUGCAAGCCAAGAGCGUAGUUUCCGGAGGGAUUUUUCUUGGAAUGGAGAAGCAACUAGACACAGUAAUUGAGAAGAUCAGAAAGGUGAUGUGUCACUGCUAUCAUUCAGAUAUCUGGUAAUUUAAGAAAAACAGGGGAGCUGGGACAGAAACUGAAGGGAGCACCCGGAAGUGUACUCUCAGCGAAGAUGCUGUUGCCUGCGAGACGCUAGUAUUUGGUGACACUAUUACGUCUCUAAAUGGCGCUGCAGACCGGGGCCACUCUGUACACCUCAUCCUGCGAUCACUCACACAGGUGUCCCUGCACACAACCAGCCACGCUACUUUUAAAGCCUCCCGGUUCCUGGUUCCACGGAAAGCGCACCGCACGCUUUGUUCAGCCCCGGCCCUUCACAGAUGGAGGAAAAUUAAGGUUGAAAUCCAGGCCCAUUGAUCCCAAAGUCCAUGUUGUUAGGCCACAAAGAAUCAACAAAUCACACCCUGCCUCCCCUGGAUCGGAAGAGAGUUUCCACCCUCACCUCUCCUGCCUGGCUGGGGGAGAGAGAAUCCAGUGGGGGCUACUGAAGAGAACACUGAGGUAG